UACGUAGGUGGCAAGCGUUGUCCGGAAUUAUUGGGCGUAAAGCGCGCGCAGGUGGCUAUGUAAGUCUGAUGUUAAAGCCCGAGGCUCAACCUCGGUUCGCAUUGGAAACUGUGUAGCUUGAGUGCAGGAGAGGAAAGUGGUAUUCCACGUGUAGCGGUGAAAUGCGUAGAGAUGUGGAGGAAUACCGAUGGCGAAGGCAGCCCCCUGGGACAACACUGACGCUCAGGCACGAAAGCGUGGGGAGCAAACAGG
rnacentral:rRNA from 1 species